rnacentral:rRNA from 1 species
AUGGCGACGACUGCCGCCGCAACGGACCGGCUCUCCGAACUCCCUGACAACCUGCUCAUCCGCAUCCUCUCCUUCGCCCCGGCCCGUGAGGCCGCCAGCACCACCGCGCUCUCCCGGCGAUGGCGCCGCCCGCUCUGGCUCGACACCGGCGCCGUCAACGUCGACUACCGUUCCUAUACCACCGGCGUCGGCUGCGGCGGCGAUACUCUCAGGCGUCGCGUGCUGGACGACAUGAUAAACGCGAACCUCGCGUUCCUGCGCUCCCGCGGCCACGGCCCCAACAAGUUUACCUUGGUCACGAGCUAUGGCACCGGUCUCACCACGCGCGACAACGCCACCUUGCACACCGCGUGCAGCCCGGAAGACGCCGAGGAGGAGUUGGAGGAGGAAUCCGACGAGGAAGAGUUGGAGGAGGAGGAAUCCGACGAGGAACAGUUGGAGGAGGAGGAGGAGGAGGAGUCUGCGAGCCUCGACGAGGAUGAGUUCACCGUCGGCACCGAGGAGGAGAGCGCCCCCUGUGUCGUGCUGAAGGACAUCACCCAGGCAGAGGAGUUCCGGCUCGAGUGGCUAGACUACGGGAGUUGCAUGAUCCCCUACUGCACGGGCUGGCUGCCGUUCCCCGCUCUCCGAGUCCUCGAGCUCACCGGCUACUCUCUCCAGCCCUGUCCGGACCUCGCGUUCCCGUGCCUGGAGGUGAUGCGGCUCCGGCGGUGCCGCACGGACUACGCGACGCUCCAGGACAUGAUCUCCGCCGCGCCCAAGCUCGCUGACGUCCGCCUUGAGGACGUGAGAUUCGUGAACUCGCAGCUCGAGUACCGGAUGCGAAUCCGAUGCCCGGCGGCCACCGUCAUCCUCAUGGCCAACUGCGACUUCGGGUACCUCGACUUCGACGCGUGCCGCGUCGAGCUCGACGCGCCGCGCCUCCGCCGCUUCUGCUACACCGUCGUCACCUUCCUAGGCAGCUCCUUCUCCUUCGACUCGCCCAUGACGCACCUGGAGGAGGUCCACCUGGCGUUGCACUCCCCAGCGGCGUGGCCACCGAGUUGCUCCAUGCUCUAUUCCAUUAACCAUGUGAGGGUCCUCAAGCUCACGGUCUAUUCCAUGGCCGACCUCGCCGACGCUACGUCGGUACCUUUUCCCAGACUCGAGCGGCUCGAGAUUGAAGAGGUCUGCGGGUGGUCUAUCCAGAACCACGGCGUCGCCGCGCUGAGGGCCGUUGUGAGCCUGCUGCGUUGCUGCACCGAGGUGCGCGAGCUCCGGUUCAAGUUCAGAUGGCUGGAUUACCUUGAGGAAAUGGCGGACCCGGAUCGGGUUGCCGCCAUGUCGGACUUCUCCCUGUGCAGAUCCAUCAACGCCGGCCACGACGACGACGACGACGACGAAGGUUGCUGUUAUGAUUUGGGCAUUCAUGGGCUUUGCUGCGGCUGCACGUUGGACAGCCUACGGAGUUCGCUGAGGAGGGUGGUGGUGAAGUUCGACGCGGAGGAGCUGACCUGCUUCCAGGUUCGGCUCGUCAAGUUCCUGGCGGAGAACGCCAUGGUUCUCGAGGAGUUCGUCGUCGACGGAGGGAAGGGGUACGACUCUGGCCGGAUCCGCCGGAAGGUGGCGCGAUGGCAGAAACGGAGACCGCCGUCAUGUCCACAACCGCCAAAGACUCCCGUUCCACAGUUGUCCGAGUUCCCGCCGCUCGGCAGUGCCCUUGAUCCGGACUCAGUUCCAGCCAACACACCCGCCGUGGCCUCGUCCAUUGUGCAGCAAGAUGCAAUUUUGUAG